rnacentral:rRNA from 1 species
AUUGAACGCUGGCGGCAGGCCUAACACAUGCGAGUCGAGCGGAUGAAGGGAGCUAGCCCCUGGAUUCAGCGGCGGACGGGUGAGUAAUGCCUAGGAAUCUGCCUGGUAGUGGGGGAUAACGUCCGGAAACGGGCGCUAAUACCGCAUACGUCCUGAGGGAGAAAGUGGGGGACCUUCGGACCUCACGCUAUCAGAUGAGCCUAGGUCGGAUUAGCUAGUUGGUGGGGUAAAGGCCUACCAAGGCGACGAUCCGUAACUGGUCUGAGAGGAUGAUCAGUCACACUGGGACUGAGACACGGUCCAGACUCCUACGGGAGGCAGCAGUGGGGAAUAUUGGACAAUGGGCGAAAGCCUGAUCCAGCCAUGCCGCGUGUGUGAAGAAGGUCUUCGGAUUGUAAAGCACUUUAGGUUGGGAGGAAAAGCAGUAAGUUAAUACCUUGCUGUUUUGACGGUACCAACAGAAUAAGCACCGGCUAACUUCGUG